rnacentral:rRNA from 1 species
GACGAACGCUGGCGGCGUGCUUAACACAUGCAAGUCUAACGAAGAGCGAUGGAAGCUUGCUUCUAUCAAUCUUAGUGGCGAACGGGUGAGUAACGCGUAAUCAACCUGCCCUUCAGAGGGGGACAACAGUUGGAAACGACUGCUAAUACCGCAUACGAUCUAAUCUCGGCAUCGAGGAUAGAUGAAAGGUGGCCUCUACAUGUAAGCUAUCACUGAAGGAGGGGAUUGCGUCUGAUUAGCUAGUUGGAGGGGUAACGGCCCACCAAGGCGAUGAUCAGUAGCCGGUCUGAGAGGAUGAACGGCCACAUUGGGACUGAGACACGGCCCAGACUCCUACGGGAGGCAGCAGUGGGGAAUCUUCCGCAAUGGACGAAAGUCUGACGGAGCAACGCCGCGUGAGUGAUGACGGCCUUCGGGUUGUAAAGCUCUGCUAAUCGGGACGAAAGGCCUUCUUGCGAAUAGUGAGAAGGAUUGACGGUACCGGAAUAGAAAGCCACGGCUAACUACGUG